GAUGAAGAACGCAGCGAAAUGCGAUAAGUAGUGUGAAUUGCAGAAUUCAGUGAAUCAUCGAAUCUUUGAACGCACAUUGCGCCCCUUGGUAUCCCGAGGGGCAUGCCUGUUCGAGCGUCAUUACAACCCUCAGGCCCCCGGGCCUGGCGUUGGGGAUCGGCGGAAGCCCCCUGCGGGCACAACGCCGUCCCCCAAAUACAGUGGCGGUCCCGCCGCAGCUUCCAUUGCGUAGUAGCUAACACCUCGCAACUGGAGAGCGGCGCGGCCACGCCGUAAAACACCCAACUUCUGAAUGUUGACCUCGAAUCAGGUAGGAAUACCCGCUGAACUUAAGCAUAUCAAUAAGCGGAGGA
rnacentral:misc_RNA from 1 species